AUGAAGCCCUCGGAGUGUCCUCCUUGGAUUGAUCCUGGUGUUAGAGUUGUUGUUAAAUGUGCUUCAUAUGUAGCAAACUUAGAGUAUGGAUUGCUAUCAAUGUCAGAGCAAGAGCAUGAUUGGUGGGUUGAUAAAUGCAAAGGUUAUAGUUUAGAUAAAUUCUGUGAUGAUAUGACUAGCAAG
rnacentral:lncRNA from 1 species